CCCCAAUAUCCUCUGUGGUAUUCCAAAUUCCCGGAUGUCACUAUUCUCCUACUUUUUUUUUUUCCCCUUAGAGGCCACAACUUCCACAAAAGGGACUGGUACUUCUGGAACUGGCUUCAAAACUGAUACCUCUGCGGUGGCACCUGGCACAACAGUUGCCCCUGGAAGUUUCAGCACAGUAGCCACAAUUUCUCCUGGAGCAAGUAGAACCACUGGGGCUGGACCUGCUGAAGGUAACCACUGAUGAACUACUAACUGCUUCCCAGUAGAGAAGGUUAUCUGAAUGACAUCUACUGUUUGUACCUCCUGUGAAGAGCAUUUUCUGAACACAGAUUACUGGAUAGGCAGGAUUUUACAUAAUAACCAAAUGUCAGAUCCUCAGACUCUUUUAUCUUCCUUUCCUCUGCCUCAAAGUGACUUCAGCAUGGAGCUAAGGCACUGAGAAUCAGUUGAGUGAUUAGAAAGAAAUAUCUUACUCUCAUUGAUAUCUAAAGGAAGUAAUUAAGUUUUUGGAAUGGUUGUCAUUAAAUAUUCCAUGAGAUGUAAAUUGUGUGAAGAACAUAUAUAAAUUAACUCUUGAUUCUAGAACCUCUGAAAAGAGCUUGUUGACAUGCUGAGAAAACAUGGCUCCCUUACCCCAUCGUAGGUCAUUUUUUUCUCAUUAUGGGUAAAGAUUGAGAUAUUGAUUCCCAUUGUUCUCUAAUACCAAGUUCAUUUUUGGUAGCCACUGG
rnacentral:lncRNA from 1 species